rnacentral:rRNA from 1 species
UCCCCAGCCCCAAUUAUAGAAGAUGGUGAAGCAAAUGAUGAAGUUCAACUUGAAGUAGAUUUGGAAGCACUUGAGCUAGAUCCCGGGAAACGGAUCCCCAUCUCUAGGUACAAUGUCAAUGACCAGGAUAAAGUUAGAAGGAGAUACAUCGAGUUGGGGGCAUGUCAACCAAAGAAACAUAAUUUUGAGUAAAGAGACAUAAGUGGAUUACAACGCCGCUUUUGUCCUUCUUGGUUUAAGGAUUACAAGUGGCUUGAGUAUAGUGUGGACAAAGAGGCUGCUUUCUGCUUUGUUUGCUAUUUGUUCAAGGAUAAAACAAAAAGCCCCGAUGGAGAUUCAUUUGUUAAGGGUGGGUUUAGAAACUGGAACAUGAAAGCAAGAUUGACAAGGCAUGUUGGUGAUGUAAGUAGUGCUCACGUUGAAGCUCAAGAGAAGUAUGAUAUGUUCACUACACCACAAACAUCAAUUCGGGAGUCUGUUGCUUCCAACACCUCACAAUACAAGGCUUUGUAUAAACAACGUUUGACAUGGACACUCAAGUGUGUGAGAUUUCUGUUGCGCCAAGGCUUGGAAUUUAGAGGACAUGAUGAAAGUGAAGACUCACUAAAUAAAGGAAAUUUCCUUGAGCUUCUAAAUUGGCUAGCAGGAAAUUUUGAAGAGGUUGACAGGGUUAUUCUCAAGAAUGCUCCACGAAACUACAAGAUGACUCGCCAUGAUAUACAACAAGAGGUGAUAAAAUGUUGUGCACAAGAGACUACUAAACUAGUCAUUGAAGAACUUGAUGGUGGUCAUUUUGCAAUACUUGCAGAUGAGUCUAGUGAUGUGUAUCAGAAUGGACAGUUGGUUGUUUGCUUGCGUUAUGUUGAUAAGAAAGGAAGGGCGGUUGUAAGUUUUCUUGGUCUUGCUCAUGUUGAAGAUAGUACCUCUCAGACACUAAAAGCUGCAAUUCAGAAAAUGCUUAUGGACUACAAUUUGACCUUUGCAAUGGUUCGUGUGCAAGGAUAUGAUGGAGCUAGUAACACGAGAGGUAAUGCUAAUGGCCUGAAAAAACUGAUUAUGGAUGAGUCCCCUUCUGCCUACUAUGUUCAUUGUUUUGCCCAUCAACUACAAUUAACUCUUGUUGCUGUUGCUAAGGAGAGUGGUGAUUGUACUUGGUUCUUUCAGCAGCUUGCACACUUGUUAAAUGCUCUUGGCAUGUCUUGUAAAAGGAUGAGAAUGCUUCGGAUAGCUCAGGCUGAAGAACUCAUUGAUGCAUUGGAAUUGGAAGAAGUAGAAACAUGGAGUGGGCUGAAUCAGGAAAUGGGUUUGGGAAGGCCAUGUGAUACACGUUGGGGCUCUCACUUCAAAACUGUGAACCAUGUCAUCUCUAUGUAUGGUGCACUACAACGAGUCCUUCGCAAGAUUGGAGACGAGUACCAUGGUGCGGAGGCACAAGCGGCUCUAUCCAUAGAUACAAUAUUUCGAUCAUUUGAGUUUGUUUUCAUGGCACACUUGAUGCAAGAAAUAUUUGGAUACACAGAUCAGUUGUGUAGAGCUUUGCAAAAGCAAGACGAAGAUAUUGUUCAUGCUAUUGAGCUUGUUGCUGACACAAAGUAUUACUUGGAGGUUUUGAGGACCGAUGCUGGAUGGGAUGAUUUUCUCACAAAGGUCACAUCUUUUUGUACAAAGCAUAAGAUCAAAGUUGUUGAUAUGGAGGCAGUGGCAGCGCCAGGCCAGCCUAGAAGGGGUUUAUGUAAUGGUGUGAUCAAUUACCACCGCUUCAAGGUUGAUAUGUUUGUGGGUGUCAUUGAUAGGCAAAUCAGUGAGCUGAAUGGCAGAUUUGAUGAGGUAAACACAGAGCUACUUUCUUGCAUGGCAGCAUUCUGUCCACUUCAUCUAUUUGCUGCUUAUGUCCAACAUAAGUUGGUUAGGCUUGCUACAAAGUUUUAUGCUUCUGAUUUUACAAGUGAUGAACUGGCAAGACUUCCAUGGCAACUAAACAUGUAUGUUAUUAAUGUGCGUAGAGAUGAAAGGUUUCAAAACCUGAAAACCGUGUCAGCUUCAGUUAUGCUUGUUGAGACAAACAAGCAUGAACAAUAUCAUAUUGUUUACAAGCUUCUUAAGUUGAUAUUGAUUCUGCCAGUAGCUACUGCUAGUGUUGAAAGGGUCUUCUCUUCAAUGAGCCAUGUGAAGAAUAAGCUAAGGAACAAAAUGGGUGAUGAAUAUUUGAACAAUUGUUUGGUUACAUUUGUUGAGAGAGAAUUUUUCAAUCAAGUGAAGGAUGAAGAUGUCAUCAAUCUCUUCCAAAAAGGCGACCGCAAAGUUAUAUUGUAA